UCUGAAUUCUUUCUUGUGUGAGAUCCAAGAACCCUCUCUUGGGAUCUGGAUCAGGGCCCCUUUCCUGUGAUGUAUUUCUGGUGACCACAAAAGGGAUAACAGUACAGAUACCGUGACCCAACGGCUACCUUUGGGUAAGUGUUGGGGUCCUGUAACAUAUAUCUGGCGAACCAUUGAAGGUACAAUGCUGCAGAGACCCCUGACUCAAAGGAAUAUUGUCUUCACACAUCAGUGGGCUGACUUUGGGAACAACUGAUUUAUUCUCCAGAGGAUUUGAACUGAAGGAGGCUUGAACUUGAACAAUCAGUACCAACUUCCCUUUACACUCUGAUCUCAGAAAUCUGACAGUCAACUGUGUUCCCCCAGGCCCUCUACCUUCACCUGAAGCAAGUAGAGGAUGUACUUUAACCAAAAUAAGGGGAUAAACACUAGAAUAAGAAGACACUGAAUCCAGAAAACAGGGAUUGGAACGCAGAAGACCUGCAAUUAUACCAUCAGGCCUGGAACGAAGCUGACAGAGAUUGUUUGGGAUACAGGAGCUCAGAGCUGGAGAACUGAAGGUCCAGAAGUUG